GGGGUGUGGUCAAAAGGGAGAAGAGCAGAGGGGUGACGUCAGGAAGCGGAGGGGCAGAACGGCACAGAUUUAAGGGAAAUAGGCAGUUCAGCCAACUGACCGCGGACUUGCCGGUCAGUUGGUCUUUAUUGCACACGUGACCGACGUCUGUCCCUCAGGUUCACUCGGAGCAGUGGCAGCUGGCCACCAGCCAGACUCCGGUUCAGCAAAUCCACCUGUUCGACGUCCACAGUUACCCCGCCUAUGUUUCCUCUGGUGGUGGAUUCGGGCCUGCUGAUGACCAUGGUUAUGGUGUUUCCUACAUCUUCAUGGGGGAUGAUGUGAUCACCUUCCACAUCUCCAGCAAAAAAUCAAGCACAAGAACGGACUCCCACCGGCUGGGGCAGCACAUCGAGGAUGCAUUGUUGGACGUGGCCGCCCUUUUCCAGGAGGGGCAGCGUCUUAAGCGCAGAGGGUUAGGGGAGGACGACUCGGGGCACAGCCGUGACUCUCUCCCCUGCCAUACCAGGGGCUCCAGGGCACCCACGACAGCCACUAACUUUUGACACCUUCCAGAGGGGAGCUGGUCUCCCCAGGAACUAGGGGGAAGGUCUCUAUGGCUGCGCUGGUGCAGGACAGAAGCAGCCUGUUUGGGUUUGGGAAUCCCACAACCGGUCUAAUAAAGAUGUGUGCGCUGGG